UCCAUUUUCAUACUUGAGAACCAAAAUUCAAAACCUAAAUGAAACGGAAAAAAAAAGCGUCCAUGUUGUAUAUGCACACUUUUUUGAAGUUUAAACAAACAUUGGGUUCCAUAUAUGUUUAUACAUAUUUUUAUCUUUUUUUGAAAUUUAAACAGACAUUGAAAACCAUAAAAUGAGCCGCUGAAUCCCUUUCUUUUAAACCCAAUUUUCAUCCCAUGUUUCCUUCCCGAAUUUCCCCAACGAUUCUGUCCGUUCUCUGCCUCUGUUUCGUUCCCCCUCCCCUUUUCUGUUGCUGUCCGCUGUGUGUAUGUGUGUUUUCGACGAAUAUGGUGACGGGGUGGUUGGCGGAAAGGUUCAGGGGUCAAUGGUGGCUGCUUUUCUCGGCUGGCGGGGUUGGUUUCCGGCGGGAGUUCGCCGGUUUUGGCGAUGGAGAAGGGUCGUUUUCCGGUGAGGGGUCGAUGGUGACGUCACUGCUUCUGGUGAGUGAAGGUUGUGUGUGGCGUGAUGGGUCGCUGAAGUUGGAGUCUUUAUUGGGGGUCUGAUAGGAC
rnacentral:lncRNA from 1 species